UGAGUUGUCACCCUUCUUGGUUGAGGGGAAGUCUAGUGACUAGCCGCUCCACUCUGUCCUCACGGCAACCGAUAGGAAUCUCGCUAACUGCAGCUAAAGCGAACCAAAGUAACCAAUCAGAGGCUCCGCCGAGCAUCCCUGACGUAACCGGAACAUCACGUUGAGUGGAUGUACUGACGCAAGGGUUGGAGCUGUCAUAGGAUGCCUUUGAUACGAGGCCGAAAAAUGCGGGGGA